GAUGAACGCUGGCGGCGUGCCUAAUACAUGCAAGUCGAGCGAACAGACGAGGAGCUUGCUCCUCUGACGUUAGCGGCGGACGGGUGAGUAACACGUGGAUAACCUACCUAUAAGACUGGGAUAACUUCGGGAAACCGGAGCUAAUACCGGAUAAUAUAUUGAACCGCAUGGUUCAAUAGUGAAAGACGGUUUUGCUGUCACUUAUAGAUGGAUCCGCGCCGCAUUAGCUAGUUGGUAAGGUAACGGCUUACCAAGGCAACGAUGCGUAGCCGACCUGGGAGGGUGAUCGGCCACACUGGAACUGGGACACGGUCCAGACUCCUGCGGGAGGCAGCAGUAGGGAAUCUUCCGCAAUGGGCGAGAGCCUGACGGAGCAACGCUGCGUGAGUGAUGAAGGUCUUCGGAUCGUAAAACUCUGUUAUUAGGGAAGAACAAAUGUGUAAGUAACUAUGCACGUCUUGACGGUACCUAAUCAGAAAGCCACGGCUAACUACGUG
rnacentral:rRNA from 1 species